rnacentral:rRNA from 1 species
AGAUUGAACGCUGGCGGCGUGCUUAACACAUGCAAGUCGAGCGGUAACGCGGGAGCAAUCCUGGCGACGAGCGGCGAACGGGUGAGUAAUGCUUGGGAAUCUGCCCAUUAGUGGGGAACAACCAGCCGAAAGGUUGGCUAAUACCGCAUACGCCCUACGGGGGAAAGCGGGGGAUCGUAAGACCUCGCGCUAAUGGAUGAGCCCAAGUCGGAUUAGCUUGUUGGUAGGGUAACGGCCUACCAAGGCGACAAUCCGUAGCUGGUCUGAGAGGACGACCAGCCACACUGGGACUGAGACACGGCCCAGACUCCUACGGGAGGCAGCAGUGGGGAAUAUUGGACAAUGGGGGCAACCCUGAUCCAGCGACGCCGCGUGUGUGAAGAAGGCCUGCGGGUUGUAAAACACUUUUAGUGGGGAUGAAAAGCUCAGGGUUAACACCUCUGGGUCUUGACCUAACCACAGAAAAGCACCGGCUAACUCUGUGCCAGCAGCCGC